UCGACGCAAGCGCUAGAGGAUGGCCCUGCGGCGUUGCCAUGGUUACAGGCGCCGCGCUCCGCGCGGGCCGGCCUGAGCUUCUGGGGCGGGCAGCGGGCUCCGGAAGUGUGCAGCUGCCCGGGACCAUGGCGGUGCUUGCUGCUGGGGAUGGCGGCUUGCUCGGCCAGGCGACUAGUUCUGGCCUGGUCAGUAGGCGGCCGACAUCUUGUCUGGGGCGGCGUCUCACAGAUGCCAGGUACCUUCUGUGUGACGUCAACCCUCCAGAGGGAUUCAGCCUCCGUAGGAACGUCUGCAUCCACAUUGCCUUCCUCCUGAAGACCCUGCUGAAGAUGGAGGAGCCGGUACUGGUGCUAUUCCCUUGGGGCCACCUCUACCACUGGCAGAGCCCCGAUCCCUGGUCCGACUCCUUUGACCUCCCAAGUCUCAACAGAAACAUCCCUGACAUUGAGUACGAGCAGUUCAUUGCAGGGUUCAAUUGGUGAUAAUAAUAGUAACCAAAGCAAUAGCAAACCCUUACAGAACUCUGUCCUGCUGUUCCAUGAACGCUGUGUUCAUGACAACCCAAUGAGUUCGCACCACUAUGAGUUCCACUUUAAAGCAGAUGGCCUUGCCUCCUGCUUCAGAGAGAAUGACAUGUUACUGGAAAGGAUCUCGCUCACCUGCAGCAAACCUGCUCACCUCAAAUUUUAUCUGUCUCUCUCCCACCUGGACUCUAGCUGUAGUUGUUCUUAAUUUAGUGAGUUUAGUUGUCAUAUAUAUACACAGUUAAAAGCAUAGCAAACUAUAGGCCACCUUCUAGGGCUUACUUUUUCAAUUUAACAUAGAGUGUAUGAUUCAUCCAUUUCAUUGCAUGUACCUGCAGUGCAUUUGUUUUAACUGAUCUUAAAUAUUGUGUGUGUGAAAAUAACACAAGAGAAGGGUAAGCCAGGAGUCAGGAUGAUGGUUAUUUCCUAUGAGAAGAGGCCAAGAACAGGAUAGGGAAAGAGGACACAGUAUGUCUCUGUCAAUAUUCCUGUUAUGAUGCUGGGUGAUAUGUUCAUAACUGUGUCUUUUAAUAUUAAUUUUAAUACAUAAAUACCUCUGACAGGCAUCUAUGAUGAGAAUGUGUCAUGAACCAAGACAUACAAUGGGUAAUAUUACAUCAUUAUUGUUAUGUAAUCUUGUUAUAUUAUAUAUUAAUGAUAAUCUUACAUUAUUUGUUAUGGGUUAUAUAUUACAUAGAUGCAUGAAUUAUAUGUUAUGUAUAUAAACACCUACAUAUAUAUUAUAUACUAUCUGCUAAUAAAUAAACAGAACAUAAUAUGCUAGUAUAUCUUCUAUUAUGUAUUAUUUAAUAAAUAAUAACAUACUAUAUCUUGUUAUAUGACAUGGCACAUAAUCUUUAAUAAAAUAAGAAAUCUGUCAAUAUAUAUUGGUAAUUAAUAAAAUUUUAAAAAAAAGCCCUCAGCUUUUAACACCAACACCGCUCCAGCUGUCACUGUCUUUUCUCUUCCCUUUCAUGGUCGAGGUACUCACGGUGCUAUCCAUUCCCCCUUUCAUCUCCUUAUCCUGAACCUUCUUCCUCCUCCCUUCCCAUGCUGGCUUCUGCCGCG